UUACUGGGAAUCAGUGUCUUUGGAAAAUACUGUAGUCUCUACUAAGAGGUGUGACUGCUUCUUUGACCUCCUUCCAGGUGCACAAGUAGCCUACCAGGGUCUGCCACAGAUUCCCAGGAGCCACCACAGGUUCUAGAGCAAUCUACCACAGAGUGGGAAAGAAAGUCGCUUCCUCUGUUACAUCAAAGUAGUUUUGGCUGUGCCCUGAUACCAGAGAGGUGAUGAUCCUCUUCUUGGGAACACAGACCGAAGGCCAUGGGAACAGCUGAGAGUAUUCUCAAAUGACAGAUUUGGGAUCGCUCUUCUUUGUCCCUAAGACCUUACUACAAGGAGAAGCUUGAGGCGCUGAGAUGCAGGAGUCGAUUCGUUACCACAGCAUCAUCUAGCCCAUCCUGACUAAUGCUCAUGGCUUCUUCCCUCCUCUGUGAGCAAGGACUUUUGCCUGGUUGCAUCAGCACCUACUGAUUUCCAAGGAAGUUCAAAAGCAAGGAUGGUCAUGCAUGGGGCAGGAGGCCAGCCUUAGUGCUCUGGGAGACGAGAGGCCAAGGGCAAGCCUGCAGACACUGCAGGGAACAGGGCAGGAGCCAUGAAAGGCGCAAGCCCAUCCAUGGGGAGGACCCACUGAAGAGUCGAUUGACAAAUUUAUAGCUGAUGAUGUUCCUCCAAUUUAAAGAUUCCUGCUGCCCCUCUUUGCUCCUCCAAAUCCAAGCUUCAAGGCCCAAGUUAG
rnacentral:lncRNA from 1 species